rnacentral:rRNA from 1 species
AUUGAACGCUGGCGGGAUGCCUACACAUGCAAGUCGAACGAGUGGCGAACGGGUGAGUAAUGUAUAGGAAUGUGCCCAGUAGUGGGGGAUAACUACGGGAAACGGUGCUAUACCGCAUACUAUUGGAGGGGCCGAUAUCGGAUUAGCUAGUUGGUGGGGUAACGGCUUACCAAGGCGACGAUCCGUAGCUGGUCUGAGAGGACGACCAGUCACACUGGAACUGAGACACGGCCCAGAAUCCUACGGGAGGCAGCAGUGGGGAAUAUGUGACAAUGGGGGAAAGCCUGAUCCAGCCAUCCCGCGUGUGUGAAGAAGGCUUCGGAUUGUAAAGCACUUUUAGCAGGGAGGCGUUACCUACAGAAUAAGCACCGGCUAACUACGUGCCAGCAGCCGCGGUAAUAC